GCUGGUAGCUUAGUUGGUUAAGCGCUCGUCUAAAAAACAAGAGUCCUAGGUUCGAAUCCAGCCGAGCG
rnacentral:tRNA from 1 species